CCAUUCUCUAACAGAUAAAUAGAGGCGAUUUCUAAUUUCUCUCUCUUUCUCACCUCCCCCUAAAAUUUUCUUUUAGUGGCAAUAUCUGCUAAACAAAACUCCAGGCACAUCUACAUUUUGUGAUGAGUUUUCUCCUAUUUACACACUUUCUAUUCCUGACAGAAAAUUUAAAUGCUAUACCAUCUGGUUCAAAACUGGUUACUCACAAUCCUACUGGCCACUUGCCAAGUCCUAUCAAUUUUCCUCCUGAAUAUCUCCUAGUUCUGUUCUUUAACCAACAAUCUCCCAAAUUAGUUCAUGCCCUUGUCAGUUUCCACUUAACUGCUAAACCAUAGUGGACAUUUGCUAUUUCUGUCUCUAUAAAAUCUCUGCACACUUUCUGCAUAUAGUACCUCCACCUUCUUUUACGUAAAAAAUCCUGACCUGCUACCUUUCCAGGCAUUUUGGCUUGCCUAUCAUAGUCCUCUGCCCCUGUGGCCAUGGAGACGAGCACCAGCUCCAUCCUCUUGACCACAAUGCUUGGUGAAAAAAAGCACAAGAUCCAGCCAGGGCAUCUGCCUCCAGAGUUUUCUGAAUUGAAGGUAGAGUGGGAUCUGUCUUUUUUUAAUUAUGUUUUCUGACUUCAAAAGACAGGAUUCUCACCAUGCAGAGGAGCCCGACAAGAAAUUGAGGGUCACGUAGAAAGCCCAGGAGUGAGGUGAGGAAAGCAAACUUGUGACAUCCUUCUAACCUGUUUCUUUCAACAAAAGGGAUUAAAAACGAUGCACAAGAAUAUACUAGUGAUAUGAAGAAUGUAACAAUAUGGGAGGAUAAAGAGUAAACUAAAUACUUCCUUCUGGAUUCUGUUUUCUGUCCAACCCCACCCCUGUCCUCAAACCUCUUCACUCUUACAUCAUACUCAGAAGCAAAUCUCUGGAAUGGCUUUGUUUUUAGUUCCAGUGGUUGAAUUUUGAAAUGGAAGGGAGAAUGGAGAAAUAGUAAAACAGACUAUUAGAAGUCUAGAUUCACAUAGAUGCUUAGUAUUCCCACUAGAACUAUUGGCCUGCCUUUGAAAGUACAAAAUCAUAAAACAACUUUGGAAAAUCAUAUUGUAUAAUAUACUGAAGUUGACCUAGCCAUUCCCUAUAAAAACUUUGGGAUUAGAAAUGAGACAAGAAUUCUUGUACUCAUCACUUCUAUUCAACUUUAU